GCAUCCGCAGAUAAACAGAAAGGUGUGCCAGUGAAACAGAACACAGCUGUAAAUUCCAGCUCCAGAAACCACUCGGCUACGGAAGUGGGACCCAUGGCAGCCGAGACCUCCCAGUCAACAGAAUCAUCGAUGUGGAUCUUGUAACUGGCUCGGCGCCCGGGCGGGAUGGUGGCAUAGCGGGGGCACAGGCUGGCCCUGGGAGGUCACAGGCCAGUGGUGGGCCUCCUACGUCAGACCUCCCUGGCUUGGGCCCCGUCCCGGGUGAGCCUGCUAAGCCCAAGACCAGCGCACACCACGCCACCUUCGUCUGAGCUGCCCUGGCCUGGCCAACUCUCCUGUGGACAUGUCGGGGUGGGGCAGCCCAGGUGGAUUCUGUGGGCCUCAGAGGGGCCACCCUGGCCACCACACCCUCAGGAGCCCAGCCAGGAGGGCAGGGGGUGACCUCGCUGGAGGCACUGGCCCCGGACAUUCACCAUGCUGGCCAUGGGGCUCCCUGGCCCUGGCCUCCUGCUGCCCAAUAAAGCAUUUCUGAGGACCCAA
rnacentral:sRNA from 1 species